rnacentral:rRNA from 1 species
UACGAAGGGGGCUAGCGUUGCUCGGAUUGACUGGGCGUAAAGGGCGCGUAGGCGGUUUGCACAGUUGGGCGUGAAAUUCCUGGGCUUAACCUGGGGGCUGCGUUCAAUACGUGUAGGCUUGAGUUCGGAAGAGGGUCGUGGAAUUCCCAGUGUAGAGGUGAAAUUCGUAGAUAUUGGGAAGAACACCAGUGGCGAAGGCGGCUCACUGGACGACUGUUGACGCUGAGGUACGAAAGCGUGGGGAGCAAACAGG